rnacentral:rRNA from 1 species
CAGCAGCCGCGGUAAUACGGAGGGUGCAAGCGUUAAUCGGAAUUACUGGGCGUAAAGCGCACGCAGGCGGUCUGACAAGUCAGAUGUGAAAUCCCCGGGCUUAACCUGGGAACUGCAUUUGAAACUGUCAGGCUGGAGUCUUGUAGAGGGGGGUGGAAUUCCAGGUGUAGCGGUGAAAUGCGUAGAGAUCUGGAGGAAUACCGGUGGCGAAGGCGGCCCCCUGGACAAAGACUGACGCUCAGGUGCGAAAGCGUGGGGAGCAAACAGGAUUAGAUACCCGGUAGUCCCUGUCUCUUAUACA